rnacentral:piRNA from 1 species
UAUCUAUCUGUCUGUAUUUGC